UACGAAGGGGGCUAGCGUUGUUCGGAAUUACUGGGCGUAAAGCGCACGUAGGCGGAUAUUUAAGUCAGGGGUGAAAUCCCAGAGCUCAACUCUGGAACUGCCUUUGAUACUGGGGUAUCUUGAGUAUGGAAGAGGUGAGUGGAAUUCCGAGUGUAGAGGUGAAAUUCGUAGAUAUUCGGAGGAACACCAGUGGCGAAGGCGGCUCACUGGUCCAUUACUGACGCUGAGGUGCGAAAGCGUGGGGAGCAAACAGG
rnacentral:rRNA from 1 species